rnacentral:rRNA from 1 species
UACGUAGGAUGCAAGCGUUGUUCGGAAUUACUGGGCGUAAAGAGUACGUAGGCGGUUUGAUAAGUCUGAUAUUAAAGACUGAGGCUUAACCUCAGGAGUGUAUCGGGAAACUGUCAGACUAGAGGACAUAGAGGAAGUCGGAAUUCUCAGUGUAGCGGUGAAAUGCGUAGAUAUUGGGAGACACCGGUGGCGAAAGCGGACUCUGGGUUGU